ensembl:snRNA U2 U2 spliceosomal RNA
AUUGCUUCUCGGCCUUUUGGCUAUGAUCAAGUGUAGUAUCUGUUCUUAUUGGCUUACUGUCUGAUAUGUACUCUGAGUAAGUUAUCCUUGUCUUUCAAAUAACAUGCAUGUGUGCUGCUUCCCGAUCGCUGCCUGUUAAUGUCUCACCUGGCAGAUGAAGACUCAGCUCUC